CACUAGCCUAUUCACUUAGCUAAUGAAGCUAUGCUUGGUGGACCUGUCCAGUAUCGAUGGAUGUAUCCUAUAGAACGAUGUUUAUAUUUUUUGAAAUCUCUCAUUGGUAAUAGGGCUUGGCCAGAAGGUUGUAUUGCAGAGGGUUACAUUGCACAUGAAUGUAUGAAUUUAUGUUCAAGAUAUUUGCAUACAAUUGACACAAAAUUUAAUAGGCCAAAAUGAAACUAUGAUGAUUGUCUGAAAAGAUCUGAUGGAGGAAUAUCUUUAUUUUGUCAAUCUGGAAAAACACUGAGGCUCCGAAACAGCGUGAUCUUGAAGCAAAUGAAUUAAAGGAAGCACAUAUAUACAUACUAAAGAAUUGCGAUAAAGUUCUACCCUUCUUAUAAGAGUUUGCACAAAUUCAUAUUGAUUCUACUCAACACUUGUUUGAUGAUGAAUAGAAUAGACAAUUUAUUGAAUGGUUUCAAGAUAAUGUUGCACAAUUGCAUGAAGAAGAUGAUAGCCAAAUCAUGGAAGAUCUCCUCACACUUUCACGUGGUCCUACUAAAUAUGUAUUACAUUAUAAUGGUUACAUUGUCAAUGGAUAUAGAUUUCAUGUAGAAGAUUAAGAUAAAAAUUUAAGGACUCAAAAUUAUGGCAUGGUUGUCAUUGGUGAAACUAAUAAACAUAGUGAGAACAUUGAUUACUAUGGAGUUUUAACCUGAUGUUCUUGAAUUGCAAUUCACGGGCAGAAGAGUUGUUUUGUUUGAAUGCAAAUGGUUUGAUGCAUAUGAUAAGACAAAGGGAGUGAAAAUAGAUGAGUAUGGCAUUGUAAGUGUAAAUUAGGGGCGAUUUCUGAAAACAAAUGAGCCUUUUGUAUUAGUUGUUCAAGCCUCUCAAGUAUUUUAUGCUAUUGAUAAUUCCAAUAGAGGUUGGUGUGUAGCGAAAAAGGUACAACCUCGUGAUUCCUAUGAAAUUGUCCAACAAAAGGACAAUGAAUUUGAAGAUUUAGAAAAUUCUUCACAAAAUAAACGAAAAAAAUGAUUGAGGUAUGAUAUGAAAUCAUCAAAGGAUGAAAAUCAGGUGAUAUCUAGAGUGAAAGUUACUACUCAAUAUGCAUAUGUGCCAUCGAGUUCUAUAGGAAAAGGAUGAUGAAGAGGUCUUAAAUCUAUGGAGUCAAGAACUGAUAUUCCAUUUUCUCCAUCUACUGAUCAUGUUAUGCAAUAAAAUCAAUAAACUGAAACAAUAGGUGUGAUUGCAAAGGGACGAGGAAAAGGUCUUAGAUCUAUGUCUAAUCCUCAAGGAGUGAGAACAAUGAAUAAAAACUACUUGAGUAUUGAGAAAUGACUUAUUCCAUCAUUUUCAUCUAUAGAGGAACUUAUGCAAUAUAUCAAAACAAAUUCAUCAAGGGCUCAAGGGAAAUAUCAAGGGCUUAAAUCUAUGUGCUCAAUUGAAGAUAUUGAAAGUGAGGAGCGAUCUUUCAAUUAAAAUGAUCGUUGUGUUAGUCAAAGUAUGUCAAAACCAUCUGAUGCUCAAGGAUGGCGAACAAUGAAUAAAAAGUGUUUGACUUCUAACAAAGGGCAGAAUUGAUCGGUUAUGCAGAUGCAGGGUAUUUGUCUGAUCCGCAUAGAGCCCGAUCUCAGAUAGGCUAUUUAUUCACUUGUGGAGGUACAACUGUAUUAUGACGUUCGAUAAAUCAAAUAAUAGUUUCUACUUCUUUAAAUCAUGCAGAGAUAAUAGUCAUUCAUGAAUCCAGUCGAGAGUGUAUGGUUAAGAUCAAUGACCCAACACAUUCUACAGUUAUGCGGUCUUUUUGUGCAAACAAAGACUCCAACAAUAUUGUAUGAAGAUAAUGCUGCUUGCAUAGCACAAUUAAAGGGAGGAUAUAUCAAAGGAGACGAACAAAACAUAUUUCACCUAAGUUCUUUUUCACACAUGAUCUUUAACAAAAUGGUGAGAUAAAUGUUCAACAGAUUCGUUCGAGUGAUAAUCUUGCACAUUUAUUCCCUAAGGCAUUUUGUCAACGUCAAUAUUUGAGAAGCUAAGAUAUAAGAUUGGGGUGCGUCGUCUCCAAGAUAUCAAAUAAGUUUUUCAUUAGGGGGAGAAAUACGCGUUGUACUCUUUUUCCGUUAGCCAUGGUUUUGUCCCAUUGGGUUUUUGCUGGUAAGGUUUUUAAUGAGGCAGCACUCAAAGCGUAUUACAAGAUGUGUGUACUCUUUUUUCUUCACUAAGCUUUUUUCCUCUGGAUUUUUCUUAGUAAGGUUUUAACGAGGCACAUUAUCUAUGGACAUCCAAGGGGGAGUGUAAUAAAUGCAUUAAUGCGAAUGUCAUUUGUAGCUCACUUCAAAGCUCAUCCGUAACUUUCUUUGAAGUUCAUGUAUGCAAUAAAUGAACACUUUAAUUCAUGUAACUUUGAAAAGA